UAGAGUUACGCGCCUGGUUUUGAUAUGGAUUUAUGACUCUAAAAUUGACAAAAAUGCAUUGUUGACAUGGUCUUAUAGCAAUACUUCCUGCUUUUGUUUUAAUUUUCCCAUAGUCAAUGGAAGCUGAAGGUGCUUGUAGGUUAGUUGGAUGCUCCCUAGACAUGUGCCUUACAUUGGGGAUGGCGUCAGUCAGGGCUACAGCGAGGUCUGCAAACAACGACCUUAUGGACCCUUGGUCUAUAUCCAAAAGGAGGACUGUGUCAACCAUGUGACGAAACGGAUGGGAACAGCCUUACGGACCCUUGGUCUAUAUCCAAAAGGAGGACUGUGUCAACCAUGUCACGAAACGGAUGGGAACAGCCUUACGGACCCUUGGUCUAUAUCCAAAAGGAGGACUGUGUCAACCAUGUAACGAAACGGAUGGGAACAGCCUUAUGGACCCUUGGUCUAUAUCCAAAAGGAGGACUGUGUCAACCAUGUAACGAAACGGAUGGGAACAGCCUUAUGGACCCUUGGUCUAUAUCCAAAAGGAGGACUGUGUCAACCAUGUGACGAAACGGAUGGGAACAGCCUUACGGAAACUACAAAAAGAGUACAAAGAAAAAAAACUUGGUGAUGGUCGGCCACUAUGUGGUCAAGACAGACUAACAGAGACCAGGGUUGAAGCCCUUCAAAAUUUCUAUGGCAAUGCAUGGAAUUUUGAAAACCACUCUAAGAACUUUAUGAUACAAUACCCAAUGAAUUUUUAGCAAGAGAAUUACACAAAUGAUCAAUAGCAAUAUGUAAGGGUAUUAUUAACACAAUUCGACUCUGCAUUUUGGAACA